rnacentral:rRNA from 1 species
CCUACGGGUGGCAGCAGUGAGGAAUAUUGGUCAAUGGCCGGAAGGCUGAACCAGCCAAGCCGCGUGAAGGACGAAGGUGCCAAGCAUUGUAAACUUCUUUUGUCAAGGGACAAAAUCAGGCUCGAGAGCCUGACCGAGGGGCCUUGAAGAUAAAGCAUCGGCUACCUCCGUGCCAGCGGCCGCGGUAAUACGGAGGAUGCGAGCGUUAUCCGGAUUUAUUGGGUUUAAAGGGUGCGUAGGGGGGCUGUUAAGUCAGUGGUAAAACCCCGGGUCCAAACCCCGGCGAGCCGUUGAAACUGGCUGUCUUGAGAUGUGGAGAGGUAUGCGGAAUGCGCAGUGUAGCGGUGAAAUGCGUAGAUAUUGCGCAGAACUCCGAUGGCGAAGGCAGCAUACCGGAGGCGAUCUGACGUUGAGGCCCGAAAGCGUGGGUAUCGAACAGGAUUAGAUACCCCGGUAGUC